ACGGAGGGUGCAAGCGUUAUCCGGAUUCACUGGGUUUAAAGGGUGCGUAGGAGGGUAGGUAAGUCAGUGGUGAAAUCUUCGAGCUUAACUCGGAAACUGCCGUUGAUACUAUCUAUCUUGAAUAUCGUGGAGGUUAGCGGAAUAUGUCAUGUAGCGGUGAAAUGCUUAGAUAUGACAUAGAACACCCAUUGCGAAGGCAGCUAACUACGCGAUUAUUGACGCUGAUGCACGAAAGCGUGGGGAUCAAACAGGA
rnacentral:rRNA from 1 species